rnacentral:lncRNA from 1 species
GACCUCGUGGCAUUAGCUUGACCUGGCAAUAUGGUCCUCUUUCCCUGAGAGGAUACCCUCCCUGUGUCGCAGAGUGGCCCAGAGCCUUCUCACUUUAUGACCCCCACAAGGACCAAGGAUUCUUCCUGAGUCCCCAUUGUGGCUGAUAAUGAGAGGAAACAUGGAAAAGGCAAAGUGUGUCCUGUGCACUGCAGCCUCUUGUCGACAAGAGAACCGUACCCCCUGCGCUCCUCCGGCAGGUGCCAGAAAAAGUUGGCAUAUCUUGUGGUAGCUGAAGCUGUCACCAUAUGCUGGGAGGUCAAACAAAGAAAUGAGGGCUGAGAGGUAAGCUGAGGCACAGAGAGGUUAUGUGACUUGCCUAAGGUCACACAGUAAGUGACUGGAUCAGGAUAUGAAACCAGCUCUUGCUGACUCCAAGUCCAGGACUCUAUUUACUGUGCUACCUCUUCCUUGUCCUCUAGUUUGAGACCUUCCCUUACCCCCAAAGCAAGAACCUAUGUGCCAUGCUUGGCUGCUCACCUGGGUGCCCAUGUUUGC